CGCAGAGUGACGGAGGCGCGAGCCUCUGGUAAUGCGGGCGCCCGGUCACAACCCCGG
ncrna:unclassified sequences Type-P5 twister ribozyme ribozyme sequence